GCAGUCGAGCGGUAGAGAGGUGCUUGCACCUCUUGAGAGCGGCGGACGGGUGAGUAAAGCCUAGGAAUCUGCCUGGUAGUGGGGGAUAACGCUCGGAAACGGACGCUAAUACCGCAUACGUCCUACGGGAGAAAGCAGGGGACCUUCGGGCCUUGCGCUAUCAGAUGAGCCUAGGUCGGAUUAGCUAGUUGGUGAGGUAAUGGCUCACCAAGGCGACGAUCCGUAACUGGUCUGAGAGGAUGAUCAGUCACACUGGAACUGAGACACGGUCCAGACUCCUACGGGAGGCAGCAGUGGGGAAUAUUGGACAAUGGGCGAAAGCCUGAUCCAGCCAUGCCGCGUGUGUGAAGAAGGUCUUCGGAUUGUAAAGCACUUUAAGUUGGGAGGAAGGGCAUUAACCUAAUACGUUAGUGUUUUGACGUUACCGACAGAAUAAGCACCGGCUAACUCUGUGCCAGCAGCCGCGGUAAUACAGAGGGUGCAAGCGUUAAUCGGAAUUACUGGGCGUAAAGCGCGCGUAGGUGGUUCGUUAAGUUGGAUGUGAAAUCCCCGGGCUCAACCUGGGAACUGCAUUCAAAACUGUCGAGCUAGAGUAUGGUAGAGGGUGGUGGAAUUUCCUGUGUAGCGGUGAAAUGCGUAGAUAUAGGAAGGAACACCAGUGGCGAAGGCGACCACCUGGACUGAUACUGACACUGAGGUGCGAAAGCGU
rnacentral:rRNA from 1 species